UCGCUCAACGGAUAAAAGGUACUCUGGGGAUAACAGGCUGAUACCGCCCAAGAGUUCAUAUCGACGGCGGUGUUUGGCACCUCGAUGUCGGCUCAUCUCAUCCUGGGGCUGAAGCAGGUCCCAAGGGUAUGGCUGUUCGCCAUUUAAAGAGGUACGCGAGCUGGGUUUAGAACGUCGUGAGACAGUUCGGUCCCUAUCUACCGUGGGCGCUGGAAAUUUGAGAGGAUCUGCUCCUAGUACGAGAGGACCAGAGUGGACGAACCUCUGGUGUACCGGUUGUGACGCCAGUCGCAUCGCCGGGUAGCUAUGUUCGGAAGGGAUAACCGCUGAAAGCAUCUAAGCGGGAAGCCUACCUCAAGAUAAGAUUUCCCUAGGAAUUUAUUCCUCUAAAGAGCCGUUCGAGACUAGGACGUUGAUAGGUUGGAUGUGGAAGCAUAGUGAUAUGUGAAGCUGACCAAUACUAAUUGCUCGUGAGGCUUGACUAUACAACACCCAAGCAGUUG
rnacentral:rRNA from 1 species